UGGUGCUCCGGGAAAUAGAGAGUUGGGCAGAGUUCCCAUCCUGUGGAGCUUGCAGUUGGAAAAAUCCUCUACACACCAAGAAGGUUGGCAGAGUAGCAGUUGAUCCACAGUGGGAGCCCAGAGGGGGAAGGAAACAACUAGCAAGCCAUUCCAGAAGUGCUGUGUGGUAUUUGGAGAGUUAGGUACCAGCUGCAGCACAGAUUUCCAGAGGUUUCAGCUGAGUGAGGAGAGGGCUGUGGGCUCAGGAGACAAAAGGGAGGCACUGCUUGUGGAAAAGUAACCCCUUUCAGACCUGUGAACACAAAGUGAGGCUGAGCAAAUCCAUUGCUCUGCAGACCUGGAGAUGCUGUGCCUGGUGCAGAGCUGAAGAGAUGAAGAGAUGUUUGGGGCAUUCCUGGGCUGGGGCUGGAGGAGCAGAAGUGAAAGACAAGACAGCUGUGGUGGGGAGCAGGAUUCAUUCCCCGGCUCCCUGUCUGCUCUCCGUGGCCUUCUCGGGCGCCGCCAAGCAGGUGCCUGUGGGCUGAAUUGCAGUGGGUGUUGCACAAGGAGCUGCAGGCUGGUGGAAAGGCUCCAGGGAGCCAGCUCCAGCCUACGGACUGGAGCUUUGACUCCCUUCGUCUAGACACUCUCACGGGAUUACCUCAGCAAUAAUUUGUCAGCCUCUAUUUAUUUUCCAGCGGCAUGGUUAGUAUUUACUGGUGCUGAGAUUCUCCUCACACUCUUCCAUAGUUUUUCAUGCAAGAGGCACUUUGGGCAGAACAACUUCCUAGAGCAUCAUUUCCAUGGGUUUUUGAAUAAUAGUAGAGAUACUCAUGCUUAGGAGAAGGAAAUGUACCUAAUGUAUGGAUGUUUACAUCCAUAUCCCUCUAAGGGGCAAGAAUAUCUCUUGUGUGUAUUUUGAAAGCAUCAAAUAUUUUAGUCAGAAUUGUACAUAAUCAUAUGUGUUCAUCAGGCUUGAGAAUAAUGUCUGAGCACACUUUGCUGUCACUUUAGGAAAAAAAUUCUUUCAGUCUCAAAACCAUUUAUUUGUCACAAUCCCAGUUUUUUACACAGCAAACCUACCACUUUCAGGUACAGUAAAUUUACACACAAUCCAUGGGGAAUGUAUCCAUAGCCCAAUUUUAAA